GUGCUCACUUCAGCAGCACAUAUACUAAAAUUGGAAGGAUACAGAAAAGAUUAGCAUGGCUCCUGCAUAAGCAUGCCACACAAAUUCAUGAAGAGUUCCAUAUUGUU
ensembl:snRNA U6 U6 spliceosomal RNA